GACGAACGCUGGCGGCGUGCUUAACACAUGCAAGUCGAACGGAAAGGCCCUGCUUUUGUGGGGUGCUCGAGUGGCGAACGGGUGAGUAACACUUGAGUAACCUGCCCUUGACUUUGUGAUAACUUCAGGAAACUGGGGCUAAUACCGGAUAGGAGCUCCUGCUGCAUGGUGGGGGUUGGAAAGUUUCGGCGGUUGGGGAUGGACUCGCGGCUUAUCAGCUUGUUGGUUGGGUAGUGGCUUACCAAGGCUUUGACGGGUAGCCGGCCUGAGAGGGUGACCGGCCACAUUGGGACUGAGAUACGGACCAGAUUCCUACGGGAGGCAGCAGUGGGGAAUAUUGCACGAUGGGAGGAAGACUGAUGCAGAAACGCAGCGAGCGGGAAGACGGCCUUCGGGUUGUAAAACGAUUUCGACUGUGAAGAAGAGUGAGUGACGGUAAUGGGUAAAGAAGCAAGGGCUCAGUACGUG
rnacentral:rRNA from 1 species